rnacentral:rRNA from 1 species
ACGCUCGACACCUACGGGGCAGCAGUGGGGAAUAUUGCACAAUGGGGGAAACCCUGAUGCAGCGAUGCCGCGUGAAGGAAGAAGUAUCUCGGUAUGUAAACUUCUAUCAGCAGGGAAGAAAAUGACGGUACCUGACUAAGAAGCCCCGGCUAACUACGUGCCAACAGCCGCGGUAAUCUGAGCGGGCUGGCAAGGC